UUGAUUUAUUUCCCUGUCAUUUUUCCAAUUUUACACUAGAUUGGACCUUCAAGUUUCUGCUUCCUUUUCAUUUAUGAAGUUUUUAAUUUCUUGCUUGCUUCUUUAGUUUUGCUGCUCCUCAUAAUCUUAGAUUGCUGCAUAUUUGAUAGAUUGAGGAACAUCACAAGGAAAUACUAAAGGGAGGAGAAAAAGAUUUAGCUUUUCAGCUGUUGCCUUCUCAACAUGAAUUGUUAUGCAUCUGAAUCAUAUAUGAAGCUGGGAGGUUUAGUUUGAAGUACUCUUGAGGUUAUUCUUCUAGAAGCUGUGGAUGUUGAAGAAAAGGCAAACAAUUAUCUAAAGGAAGAAAUAGUUGAAAGAGAUCAAUCAAUAUUACUUCGUUUUUUCUAGACAUUUAUAUGUUUUCUCACCUUGUAGUUUCCUCCCAAUGCUGUGCUGAUGUGUUUAUCACCUUGGCAUUUAUCACCUCUCUCCCAAUGCUGCCACUUUGACUACCAAGAUCAACCCAAAAAAAAUUACGUCAAAUCAUUCUGGAGGGGAAAUGAAAAGAAAUUAAGCAUUUGCAUGGUAAUCGAGUGACUUUUAAGAAAUAGAGGAGUUCAGGAAGAGAACUACACGCAGUUGGUUACCAUAUGGAAUGAACCAAAUAGAGAGGAGUCAUUGGGUUGGUUACCAGUUGGUUACCACAAUCAAUGACUGUUAAAAGCAUCCAUGCUUUCGGCCUUUCACGGGGAACGAGAGGAGAGUCUGAAUGAAGCUGGAGCUCUCUGAUGCUAUUAGUCAUUGAAAGUCUAGAAUCAUUUUGCUUGUGGCCAAUUAGAAAUACUUUUUUCUUUUCUUUAUCAAUUUGUUCAAUUGGCACUGGUAUAGGUUU